rnacentral:rRNA from 1 species
UUGAACGCUGGCGGCAGGCCUAACACAUGCAAGUCGAGCGGUAGCACAGAGAGCUUGCUCUCGGGUGACGAGCGGCGGACGGGUGAGUAAUGUCUGGGAAACUGCCUGAUGGAGGGGGAUAACUACUGGAAACGGUAGCUAAUACCGCAUAAUGUCGCAAGACCAAAGUGGGGGACCUUCGGGCCUCAUGCCAUCAGAUGUGCCCAGAUGGGAUUAGCUAGUAGGUGGGGUAACGGCUCACCUAGGCGACGAUCCCUAGCUGGUCUGAGAGGAUGACCAGCCACACUGGAACUGAGACACGGUCCAGACUCCUACGGGAGGCAGCAGUGGGGAAUAUUGCACAAUGGGCGCAAGCCUGAUGCAGCCAUGCCGCGUGUGUGAAGAAGGCCUUCGGGUUGUAAAGCACUUUCAGCGGGGAGGAAGGCGUUAAGGUUAAUAACCUUGGCGAUUGACGUUACCCGCAGAAGAAGCACCGGCUAACUCCGUGCCAGCAGCCGCGGUAAUACGGAGGGUGCAAGCGUUAAUCGGAAUUACUGGGCGUAAAGCGCACGCAGGCGGUCUGUCAAGUCGGAUGUGAAAUCCCCGGGCUCAACCUGGGAACUGCAUUCGAAACUGGCAGGCUAGAGUCUUGUAGAGGGGGGUAGAAUUCCAGGUGUAGCGGUGAAAUGCGUAGAGAUCUGGAGGAAUACCGGUGGCGAAGGCGGCCCCCUGGACAAAGACUGACGCUCAGGUGCGAAAGCGUGGGGAGCAAACAGGAUUAGAUACCCUGGUAGUCCACGCCGUAAACGAUGUCGAUUUGGAGGUUGUGCCCUUGAGGCGUGGCUUCCGGAGCUAACGCGUUAAAUCGACCGCCUGGGGAGUACGGCCGCAAGGUUAAAACUCAAAUGAAUUGACGGGGGCACGCACAAGCGGUGGAGCAUGUGGUUUAAUUCGAUGCAACGCGAAGAACCUUACCUGGUCUUGACAUCCACAGAACUUUCCAGAGAUGGAUUGGUGCCUUCGGGAACUGUGAGACAGGUGCUGCAUGGCUGUCGUCAGCUCGUGUUGUGAAAUGUUGGGUUAAGUCCCGCAACGAGCGCAACCCUUAUCCUUUGUUGCCAGCGGUUCGGCCGGGAACUCAAAGGAGACUGCCAGUGAUAAACUGGAGGAAGGUGGGGAUGACGUCAAGUCAUCAUGGCCCUUACGACCAGGGCUACACACGUGCUACAAUGGCAUAUACAAAGAGAAGCGACCUCGCGAGAGCAAGCGGACCUCAUAAAGUAUGUCGUAGUCCGGAUUGGAGUCUGCAACUCGACUCCAUGAAGUCGGAAUCGCUAGUAAUCGUAGAUCAGAAUGCUACGGUGAAUACGUUCCCGGGCCUUGUACACACCGCCCGUCACACCAUGGGAGUGGGUUGCAAAAGAAGUAGGUAGCUUAACCUUCGGGAGGGCGCUUACCACUUUGUGAUUCAUGACUGGGGUG